AAUGUUAUUAGAGGUUCCAACAGGUUUAAUUUGCUAUAUAUACCCUAUGGGCAGUUCUUAUAUGUUUCAUUUUUCUUGUUUAUCCUGCACAAAGAACAGUUUGAGAUUGAGAACUUGGGAAUCAUCCUUUUUUAUAGUUAAUUAAUUAAGGCAUAGUUCAAUUGUGGUUUGUACUUUGUAAUGAAAUUUCAAUGUGUUUUGUAUACCAAUAGACGUAUUUAUCUUGGAUUUGAGUACAACUGGCUCACCAAUUUUCCUUUAUUUCCAUAGGCUUUG
rnacentral:misc_RNA from 1 species